rnacentral:rRNA from 1 species
UCCUACGGGAGGCAGCAGUGGGGAAUAUUGCACAAUGGGCGAAAGCCUGAUGCAGCAACGCCGCGUGAGUGAUGAAGGCCUUCGGGUCGUAAAACUCUGUCCUCAAGGAAGAUAAUGACGGUACUUGAGGAGGAAGCCCCGGCUAACUACGUGCCAGCAGCCGCGGUAAUACGUAGGGGGCUAGCGUUAUCCGGAUUUACUGGGCGUAAAGGGUGCGUAGGCGGUCUUUCAAGUCAGGAGUGAAAGGCUACGGCUCAACCGUAGUAAGCUCUUGAAACUGGGAGACUUGAGUGCAGGAGAGGAGAGUGGAAUGCCUAGUGUAGCGGUGAAAUGCGUAGAUAUUAGGAGGAACACCAGUUGCGAAGGCGGCUCUCUGGACUGUAACUGACGCUGAGGCACGAAAGCGUGGGGAGCAAACAGGAUUAGAUACCCUGGUAGUCCACGCUGUAAACGAUGAGUACUAGGUGUCGGGGGUUACCCCC